rnacentral:rRNA from 1 species
UGGCGCACGGGUGAGUAACGCGUAGAUAAUCUGCCUGAUGAUCUGGGAUAACACUUCGAAAGGGGUGCUAAUACCGGAUAAGCCCACGUGAUCUUUGGAUCGUGCGGGAAAAGGGGGGGACUUUCGGGCCUUCUGUCAUCAGAUGAGUCUGCGUACCAUUAGCUAGUUGGUAGGGUAAUGGCCUACCAAGGCUACGAUGGUUAGCUGGUUUGAGAGAAUGAUCAGCCACACUGGAACUGAGACACGGUCCAGACUCCUACGGGAGGCAGCAGUGGGGAAUUUUGCGCAAUGGGCGAAAGCCUGACGCAGCAACGCCGCGUGAGUGAUGAAGGCUUUCGGGUCGUAAAGCUCUGUCGAGGGGAAAGAAGUGUAUUGUGGCUAAUAUCCACGAUACUUGACGGUACCCCUAAAGGAAGCACCGGCUAACUCCGUGCCAGCAGCCGCGGUAAUACGGGGGGUGCAAGCGUUGUUCGGAUUUAUUGGGCGUAAAGAGCGUGUAGGCGGUUUGUUUAGUCUGAUGUGAAAGCCCUGGGCUCAACCCAGGAAGUGCAUUGGAUACUGGCAGACUUGAAUACGGGAGAGGGCAGUGGAAUUCCUAGUGUAGGAGUGAAAUCCGUAGAUAUUAGGAGGAACACCGGUGGCGAAGGCGGCUGCCUGGACCGAUAUUGACGCUGAGACGCGAGGUAUUGACCCCUGCAGUGCCG